AUAACAGUGUUCCUAGUAUUAUUUAUAUAAACUUUAUAAUUCUUUAAUACCCACAUUAGGAAUUUAUACUGAACAUUUCUUGUUUAUUAACAAACUAUUGGAAAAUAAAUAACUCCAACUAACAUGUUUUAAACUAGUUUAAACCAGAGACUUAUAUAAAAUCAUGACAAAACAAACCUUUUUAAAAUCUCUUCAUUUAUUUCAGAUCUGCACUGAUGACCUUGAGUUCUACAGCAGUUUGUUUGAAACAUCACAAUGAUUCUUUAUCUGUAACUAGAUGACAUUCAUUAGAAACUCUGUAAGGCACUGGGUUGUAUUUCUACAUUAUUAUUAACAUCAGUGAUUUGUAGGUUUUUGACAUGAUUUCAGUGUGAAAUGUAAAAAACUGGUUUUCUGUAGAGAUUUCACAAAAACACUGUAACAUCAUCAGCACAGUCACCAACCUGAACACUACAAGAACCACACAGAAACUCUGACCAGUCCUGUCUGCUCCUGACCAGUCCCAAACUUCUCCUGCUCAAAGUAUCUCCAUUCUCACCCACUGACACAUGAAGUUUAACCCUUCACACACACUCUUGAAGAAAGCUGACCAAUAUUACUGUCACCUACAGAAUAACUGACCAAUCCUGUCCACUUAAGCAGAACCUUUGAGAAACCCCACCACACCAACUCCUGCAUAAAGUCUGAUCAAUCCCAUCCUCUCUUGAAGAACAUUUGACAAAUUCAUGACAUUCAUUUAUUACAGAGGUUUGUAGGCAUGAUAGUCUGGUACCACAAAUUCAUCCCACAUUUUGCAGAGCUUGCUGCCCCAUUGUAUCAGUUACAUCGGUUUCAGGUGGGAAUGGACAGAAAAAUAUCAGGAGAGUAUGGAGAGGCCUGAAGGUAGCCCUACAGAAAGCCCCUGUUCUGGCCCAACCAGAUCUGAGCCAUCCUUUUCAAGUGCAAACUUAUGCCAGUUCUACACACUCUAAAAAAUGAUUCAUGGGGUUAGUUUGUAAAACUUAAAAUAAACAAUAUUUUCAGCAUAAAAUAAUUAAGUUUGUAAUAUGUACUCGUAUUGGUGAGUUGAUAACUCAUUUUAAUAAGUCUUUCAAAAGUAAAAUAAAGGAUACUGUCUUAACUUAAUUAUAUAUCAAUUUUGAACACACACUUUUACAUUCUCGUAACAACAGAAAAAUAUUAAGUUAGUGAAACUUGUAUAUCUAGUGAGCAUCGGAAUUUGCCUGUACGUGUUUUUUUGCCAGAGAAGGACUACUAGGAGCCGGAGAAACAGGAGAAUCAAGGCUAUAUAGGAUGAUGAGGUGCCACAAAUUUUGACCCAGCCAACGCUAGUAUUAUUAUUGAGGGAACAGAAGUCCUGCAAGACCUGGAUGUAUCCAGUGCCUGUGCCCUGCUAGGGCUGGUAUAUGCUCUCAACCUCAGCUACCCAAAGGAACUAAAAAAUACUUUUGAGGUGUUUCAGAAAAUAAUUCUUGAGCUGGAUGGUCUGAAAGCUAGGCCGAAGGUAAUGUCUUUAAACAAUAAACUGUUGUAUUCCUGAAA